rnacentral:rRNA from 1 species
AGCAGCCGCGGUAAUUCCAGCUCCAAUAGCGUAUAUUAAAGUUGUUGCAGUUAAAAAGCUCGUAGUUGAACUUCAGGCCUGGCUGGACGGUCCGCCUUCUGGGUGAGCACUGUCUGUGGUCGGGCUUUACCUUCUGGCGAAGCGGCAUGGCCUUUACGGGUCGUGACGGGGAACCAGGACUUUUACUGUGAAAAAAUUAGAGUGUUCAAAGCAGGCAUACGCUUGAAUACAUUAGCAUGGAAUAAUGGAAUAGGACAAUGGUUCUAUUUGUUGGUUUUCUAGGACUGUUGUAAUGAUUAAUAGGGAUAGUUGGGGGCAUUAGUAUUCAAUUGUCAGAGGUGAAAUUCUUGGAUUUAUUGAAGACUAACUACUGCGAAAGCAUUUGCCAAGGAUGUUUUC